rnacentral:rRNA from 1 species
UACGGAGGGUGCGAGCGUUGUCCGGAAUCAUUGGGCGUAAAGGGCGCGUAGGUGGCCCGGUCAGUCAGUGGUGAAAGCGCGGGGCUCAACUCCGCGUCGGCCAUUGAUACUGCUGGGCUGGAGCACUGUAGAGGCAGGCGGAAUUCCGGGUGUAGCGGUGGAAUGCGUAGAGAUCGGGAGGAAGGCCGGUGGCGAAGGCGGCGCUCUGGAACAUUUCUGACGCUGAGGCUCGAAAGCGUGGGGAGCAAACAGG